UUUCCGUAGGUGAACCUGCGGAAGGAUCAUUACUGAGUUAGGGUCUUCCAGGCCCGACCUCCAACCCUUUGCCUACCUUACCUCUUGUUGCUUCGGCCGGCCCGUCCCCCCUAGACAUAGGGGUCGACCGCCGGAGGGCUCACGCCCUCUGGCCCGCGCCGGCCGAUGGCCUCCAACCAAAACUCUUGUUCAAUCGUGAAUUGUCUGAGUACAAAAACCAAAAUAAACCAAAAACUUUCAACAACGGAUCUCUUGGUUCUG
rnacentral:misc_RNA from 1 species